rnacentral:rRNA from 1 species
GACGUAGGGCGCGAGCGUUGUCCGGAUUUAUUGGGCGUAAAGAGCUCGUAGGCGGCUUUGUAAGUUAGAGGUGAAAGCCCAGGGCUCAACCCUGGAAUUGCCUUUAAGACUGCAUCGCUUGAACAUCGGAGAGGUAAGUGGAAUUCCGAGGUGUAGAGGUGAAAUUCGUAGAUAUUCGGAAGAACACCAGUGGCGAAGGCGGCGUCUCUGGGCCUUACCUGACGGCUCGAGGGAGCGAAAGCGUGGGUAGCGAACAGG